CUACUAGCUCAUGACAGAUCAGCGUUCGGCCUCGGCCACACGUCAUCGGCGUGGCUUUCAGCUGUCCAGUGUGGUGUUCCUGCAGCUCUAAGGCCAGCAAACUGCAGGACGAGCCCCCGGUCCUUCUCUUUUCAUUCGGUGUUCAUAUUAUAGAGCAUCAGACUGAGACAUGACCAACAACAGAGACGAUGAUGGAGGAAGUAUUCAGAGACCAUCAGCAGCUUCAUCUAAACACCAUCACACAGUCUCCUUUCUCUGUGUGCACGAGCCCACAAUUACAGACCAUGUGCUGAGGCACCCCCCCCACACCCACCGCCAACCUGACCCCACCCACCCAAACCACACUUUGAUCUCAAACCAAACAUCCCCUCCCUCCCUCCAGCUUCUGUUUCUGCUCCAGACCACAAACCAGAGGGACUCUGAGGACUCCAGACCUGCACUGACCGGCUGGCUGAGGAGCUGCAGGAUCUGCAGAGAGAGGCUUGGAGAAACCUGGAAAACACUGAAGAAGAAGGAGAUGUCUUUAUUUAAAAACUCAUUCUUCAGUAUUUUAAUCUUUAAGGCAACUUGUACUGCUGUGCUUCUGUCUGUUUCACGUCUGAGGUGAAAUGCAUUUUCAUUGGGUGGGUUAAUAUAAAAUAAAUAUCUAAAUGUCUCUAC